UACGAAGGGGGCUAGCGUUGCUCGGAAUCACUGGGCGUAAAGCGCACGUAGGCGGAUCUUUAAGUCGGGGGUGAAAUCCCGGGGCUCAACCCCGGAACUGCCUUCGAUACUGAGGAUCUUGAGUCCGGGAGAGGUGAGUGGAACUGCGAGUGUAGAGGUGAAAUUCGUAGAUAUUCGCAAGAACACCAGUGGCGAAGGCGGCUCACUGGCCCGAUACUGACGCUGAGGCACGAAAGCGUGGGGAGCAAACAGG
rnacentral:rRNA from 1 species